rnacentral:lncRNA from 1 species
UUGCCAUGGUGAAAAAUAUAUUGAUGACCCUCAUUUGAGAGAAUGAAUUGAAAGUUGUGUGAAUAAACUUAACAUGACUUAAUUUAGCAAUUGGUGUUGAUUUGCCCAAAUCAUUGAGAGAAAGAAAAUUCAGCAAAGGCAAAGUCCUCAAAAGCACAAAUUAAAAACUGUUCCAAUGGUCAAAAGACUAUGAACAGAGCUAGUAGCCACUUGGACAGGUGACCAACUGAAAAAUAUAUACCUUCACAUCAAAAAUAGGUUGGUGACCUUGCCAAGCAAGAUCUAAAGUGCAAAAGCCUGAAUAAAGUACUUCAAGGUAAG